GUCUUCUUCACACAUGUAGCGUGGAGGGAACCAGAUUUUAUUUUGAAGUGAUCAAGACAACAUGAAGAUCAUACAGCUUCAGCUCUUGGUAUCGAUCUGUUGUCAAGCUGCAGUUUCAGAUCUACUGACUGAUUUGGGAUCAAAUGUGAUCAUAAACUGUGAUCUUGAUGAAAAUGAGGUUUAUUGGAUUUUACUGAAAACAGUAGAUCCUCCGACAGUGAUUCUGCUAUCAUUUCCAACACCAAUACCACCUUUUUACUAUAAUAAAUCAUUCAGAAACAAAUAUUCAGUGCAGUUUAAACAUCGUCUGGUUAUUAAUAAUGUGACUGCUGAUGAAUUAGGAGUUUAUUACUGUAUGAACACACGCACUCCUCCAAAACUCAGUAACAGCACCAGAAUAUACUUCACCGAAACUCAACGGACUGAGUGUCACAAUCACACAGUUCUGGAGAUUAUUGAUCAGAAUCAAACACAAUCACAGAUUAUUAUCAUCAUAUCUGCUCUGUUGAAUGGACUUCUGCUCAUUCUGCUGAUCGUUUUUGCAGCUGAAAAAACAGAACAGAUGGAAAAACAUGUUUAUGAUGCUGAUCUGCAGACAGAAGUUAUGUAUCAGCCACGAGACACAAAACCAUCACAAGUAUAAUAAGUACACCGCAGUGGACUUUACUUUAAAAAAUAAUCAUCGAGUCAGCAGCAUCUAUGUGUGAUUAUAUAACAUGUUCUUAUAUGAUGUGAAUUAUCCUGAAGAUUUAUUCUGUAAUAUCAAGAGUAUUUG